rnacentral:lncRNA from 1 species
UUUUUUUUUUGGUACCUAGGAUGGAAUUUAGGGGCACUCGACCACCGAGCCACAUCCCCAGCACUAUUUUGUAUUCUGUUUAACGACAGGGUCUCACUGAGUUGCUUUGCAUCUCGCUUUUGCUGAGGCUGGCUUUGAACUCGCGAUCCGCUGGGAUUACUGGCGCGCUACCUUCUUUUCUAAGGGUCCCUCAUUGGUCCCAGGUAUCUAAGGCUCUGGACAGGCCUUUUGUUCACUUUUGUUCAUUCGUGCUUGUUGAAGGCACUCUUGAUUCCUUCCAGACCUGUUCCUCCUAUGCCUUUUCCAUCUCAGCUGACUCCAUUCCUGUGGUUGCUCAGAACUAAAGCUUGGGGUCACUCUUGACUCUUCUUCACUCCCCUUGAUCAAUCCGAAAACAAUUUUUUAAAAUUCUAAUCUUAAAAUAUAUCUGAAAUUGACCACUUCUCAAUACUUCUGCCAUGACCAGCACGGAGUCACUCAUCCCUCGUCUGUGCUGGGACUGUUGUAACACUUCUCACAGGCAUUCUGCUUUCACUCAGAUCCCCAGGGCUGCCAUCUAUUCUCCAAGCUGCAGUCACCCUUUUAAAAUGGACAGAUCACUGAUCAAACUUUGCACCAAUGGUACCCAUCUCACUUGGUGCUGCCAACUCCUGAAAUGACCUCCCAGGCCCAUUGUGUUCUGGUCCCUGACAAUCUCCCUGAUCUCAUCUUCUGCUCUUUUCCUUCCAACACGUCUUCCCAACCACACCAGUCACUAUGCUGUUCCUCAAACAUUCCAAGUCACCUCCUACCUCAGGACUAUUGUCUCUGCUGUUCCUUUUGGCUGAAUUGCCCUUCUCCCCAGUAGUCACAUGGUUUGCUUCUCAGCCUCAUUUAUAUUUCUGCUUCAAUUUAAUCUUAACAGAAAGGCCUUUCAUAAAGACCUUAUUUAAAAUUGUAAGUCACAUGGGCUGGGUUGUAGAUUAGUGGUAAAGCACUUGCCUAGCAAACUAGACUGUGGGUUCAAUCCCCAGAUCUGAAAGAAAGAAAAUUGCAAAACAGCACCCCUCCAUACUCUUUAUCUCCCCUCCUUUUGUUUUGUUCAGUGUUUGGAAUUGAACCCAGGGCCUCACACCUACUAGGCAAGUGCUCUACCACUCAGCUACUUUGCAUGCUAGGCAAAUACUCCAUUACAUCCUCAUCCCCACAAUCCCUCUUUUUUGUUUCUUCUCUAUUUUCUCUGUAGCACUAAUCUCCACUUCACAUGUCAUUGUCUAAAACUUCCCUGUAGCUGAGGUGUUAUCCCACUUACACAAUAACAAAGUAAUGCUUUACUAUUUCAUGGAUUCUGACAGAAGACAUGAAACUCUGGCUAAGAGACAAAGGGCUUGAUUGUUUUGUAAAAGCAGCAGCUACAGUUUGAAGUUUGUGUUAUUUCCCCAUGUUCUGCAAGCCCCAUGG